rnacentral:lncRNA from 1 species
UCUGAACAGAUGGCCCAGCAAAAGGGGUUAAGUAAAGAGAUCGCUGCGAGGAGUCUUGUCACUUGCAUUUGAGCGGAGACCUAGGAGGAACAGACUUUUGUUUCUCCAGACUCAUCAUCCCCGAUCCCAAGGGAAGAGAUGAGUGAUUCUGCACGACCUUCAGAGGCCCUGGGGGAAGGAAUAGGAGUCUCUCUAUCUCAGGUGAGGCCACUCUCCA